rnacentral:rRNA from 1 species
AUGAUUGCAUUCUGUUGGUUAUUGACAAAUUCAUCAAAUAUGGACAUUUCAUGCCCCUGCGACAUCCAUUCACUGCUCAAAAAGUUGCGUAGGUUUUCCUGGAUAAUGUUUAUAAAUUACAUGGCAUGCCUGAGCUCAUUGUCUGCGACAGGGAUCCUGUUUUUACCAGCAAUUUCUGGCAGACUCUUAUUUAACAGAACUGGCACUCAUUUGAAUAUGAGCUCGGCUUAUCAUCCAGCUAUGGAUGGGCAGACUGAACGGGUUAAUCAGCAGGUGGAGUGCUAUUUGCGGAGUUUCAUCGGUUCUCAUCCUACUAAAUGGAGCAAGUGGCUGUCGCUCUGUGAGUUUUGGUACAACACCAAUUGGCAUUCUGCUGUGGGGAAAUCACCAUUUGAAGUUUUGUAUGGGCAACCUCUCAGGUAUUUUGGUAUUUCUCCAUUAGACACAAUUCCUCCUUUGGACAUUCAACAGUGGUUGCAAGAUCGAUAG